rnacentral:rRNA from 1 species
UACGGAAGGGGCAAGCGUUGUUCGGAAUCAUUGGGCGUAAAGGGCGCGUAGGUGGUUUUGUAUGUCUACCGUGAAAGCAUACAGCUCAACUGUAUUUUGUCGGUAGAAACUGCAGGACUUGAGGCUGGGAGGGGCUGGUGGAAUUCCCUGUGUAGCGGUGAAAUGCGUAGAGAUGGGGGAGAACACUCGUGGCGAAGGCGGCCAGCUAGACCAGUUCUGACACUGAGGCGCGACAGCGUGGGGAGCAAACAGG